rnacentral:misc_RNA from 1 species
AAAAAAAAAUAUCAUUAAUUACUUAUAUGAGUUUUUUUUUUUUUAAAGCAAAAAAUAAAAUUGCCUAAAUUGUUUCAAGCAUGAUAUUCUCAUCCACUUGAAGGGUCCAUUGCAGCAGGUUCCUCGCGAAAUUACGGAAAGAUAAGAUACAUAUGAUAACGUUGUGAAAAUACUUGAAAGGACCAAUCAUGCAUUUAGCCAUGGGAAGACACUGGGUGAUGAGGGUAGCCGUGCUGUCAGAACCUCAACUCCAGUUUCUGUCACCAAAAGAGUGUGCUCGAACUGAGCACUGCGUUUGCCAUCCGUGGUAACAGCAGUCCAUCCAUCAGGCCACAUCCGAUCACGCCAAACCCCUGCAUUGAUCAUGGGUUCAAUGGUAAAGGUCUGUCCAGCCUUCAUCACACCAACAGCUUUACUCCUUCCAUAAUGGGGAAUAUUUGGUGCACAAUGGAAGAGCUCCCCUAUACCAUGACCGCAAUAUGACUUCACCACCGAUAAACCUGACAUUGUAGCAUGACGGUUAAUAACUUCUCCGAUUUCACGAAAUCGAACUCCAGGUUUCACAAUGGAUAUUGCUUUCUCCAAACACUCAUAAGUACACUGGACCAACUGAAGAGAUGCUUCAUCAACAUUUCCCACAAAGUAUGUUUCAUUGAGAUCACCAUGGACACCUUUGUAGUAUACAGUCACAUCCACAUUUACAAUAUCACCAUCCUCUAAUUUCCUGGCAUCAGGAAUUCCAUGGCAGAUUACUUCAUUAACUGACGUGCAACAUGACUUUGGGAAGAAAUGAUAAUUUAAAGGAGAUGGAUAUCCUCCAGCUGCAAUAGUUGCCUCAUGAACCACUCGAUCAAUUUCAUCAGUAGUUACACCCGGACGAAUGACCCGAGCAGCUGCAUCCAAAGCCUCUCUUGCUAUUUUACAAGUAUCUCGCAUUCUUUGAAUUUGAUCUGGAGUUUUGAUCUCCACAACACGCUGCAAUUCACUGUUGGGUUCAAUCUUUGGGAUUCCAUCAACUGCCCAGUCAGGUUGAUCAAUGUGAGAUGGAACUACUCGCAUGGGAGAUAUAGGAUAAGGUCUUAGUUUCCCUGUCCAAUCAAAAUGAGGAAGUUUUGGAGUUCGAGAUUGUCCUCUCCUUAAGCAAUAUUGCCAACCUUCAUUAAGUACACCUAAAUCUUGUUCACCUGUAGAACCAGUCCCAAGUGAGGACAAUUUUGCCUUCACAUGAACUGAUUUAUGAGAGCUCCAACAAGCCUUAAAGCAGUCCUGUGUGCAGAAAGCAGCACCUUCACGAGGAAGCUUUAAUUCCAUGCACUUUGGGCACUGAAGAUGCGCAGGCUUCCCGCAUUGAACACACGAUAGGGCAGUUGCUUCCGCCACAUCAGAGCCGCCGGCCAUCGAACCCCACAACUCUCUCCCUCUUUCUGUCUCUCUCAACAGCUAGUAGUCCAAUAAUCUCUGGUUGAUUGCGGGUUGUCGGAAGGAGGAUUUAGAAUCGAAAGGAUUGUGUAAAAGAGAGCAAGGGAAACAAAAUUGGGCAGGAGCAGCUAGGGUUUUCAGAGAAAGGCGGCGAACACGAUGACCGUCGCAAUCGAAGAUGUAGUCUAAAUGGCGACUUACAGCACCUGUCUCAAUUUUAUUACCCCUAUAAUUUCAGUUUUCCA